ACUCCCCGCGACACCGCUGUGCUGCUCCGCAGGGCCCGGCUGAGACCCGCGGAAGCUUCCCCGGUGCCUCGCGGGUCCCUGCCCAGCCCCCGCCCGGGCAGGGGCGGCAGCGCCGUCAGAGCCGCGAUCGAGCGCGGUCGUGGUGCCCGUGGCCGGCUCUGUGCCGGUGUCACGGCGCUGGGCACAUCGUGCUGGAAGUGCUGUGUCAUUGUGCGAGAGGGCUGGGAACAAGUGCGGGAGAAAUGUACUGCUUUUUGGCACGGGAGAUGAGAAUCGGAAGGAAGAGGAGGGAUGAUGGCUGGAAACUGAGCGUAAGAUUGGACUGGUUUAGAUGAAGAUGAAGAUGCACAUGUCUGGGAAGACAAUUGGGAUGAUGACAAUGUAGAAGAUGAUUUCUCCAAUCAGUUAAGAGCUGAAUUAGAAAAACAUGGAU